UUGGAGGGCAAGUCUGGUGCCCAGCAGCCGCGGUAAUUCCAGCUCCAAUAGCGUAUAUUAAAGUUGUUGCAGUUAAAAAGCUCGUAGUUGAAUUUCGGGAUUGACGUGAUGGUCAUGCCUUAAGGGGUAUGAACUGUUACAGUUGAUUUCUCACCUUCUGGAGAAACUUGAUGUCCUUUAUUGGGUGUCUUGCGGAUCCAGGACCUUUACCUUGAAAAAAUUAGAGUGUUUAAAGCAGGCAUUUUUGCUCGAAUACAUUAGCAUGGAAUAAUAGAAUAGGACGGCAUGGUUCUAUUUUGUUGGUUUCUAGGGUCACCGUAAUGAUUAAUAGGGAUAGUUGGGGGCAUUAGUAUUCAAUUGUCAGAGGUGAAAUUCUUGGAUUUAUUGAAGACUAACUACUGCGAAAGCAUUUGCCAAGGAUGUUUUCAUUAAUCAAGAACGAAAGUUAGGGGAUCGAAGACGAUCAGAUACCGUCGUAGUCUUAACCAUAAACUAUGCCGACUAGGAAUCAGACGAUGUUAAUUUUUUAAUGACUCGUUUGGCGCCUUACGGGAAACCAAAGUGUUUGGGUUC
rnacentral:rRNA from 1 species